rnacentral:rRNA from 1 species
CUUAACACAUGCAAGUCGAACGAAGAAGGUUAGAAUGAGAGCUUCGGCAGGAUUUCUUUCCAUCUUAGUGGCGGACGGGUGAGUAACGUGUGGGCAACCUGCCCUGUACUGGGGAAUAAUCAUUGGAAACGAUGACUAAUACCGCAUGUGGUCCUCGGAAGGCAUCUUCUGAGGAAGAAAGGAUUUAUUCGGUACAGGAUGGGCCCGCAUCUGAUUAGCUAGUUGGUGAGAUAACAGCCCACCAAGGCGACGAUCAGUAGCCGACCUGAGAGGGUGAUCGGCCACAUUGGGACUGAGACACGGCCCAAACUCCUACGGGAGGCAGCAGUGGGGAAUAUUGCACAAUGGGCGAAAGCCUGAUGCAGCAACGCCGCGUGAAGGAUGAAGGGUUUCGGCUCGUAAACUUCUAUCAAUAGGGAAGAAACAAAUGACGGUACCUAAAUAAGAAGCCCCGGCUAACUACGUGCCAGCAGCCGCGGUAAUACGUAGGGGGCAAGCGUUAUCCGGAAUUACUGGGUGUAAAGGGAGCGUAGGCGGCAUGGUAAGCCAGAUGUGAAAGCCUUGGGCUUAACCCGAGGAUUGCAUUUGGAACUAUCAAGCUAGAGUACAGGAGAGGAAAGCGGAAUUCCUAGUGUAGCGGUGAAAUGCGUAGAUAUUAGGAAGAACACCAGUGGCGAAGCCGGCUUUCUGGACU